rnacentral:rRNA from 1 species
AGAGUUUGAUCCUGGCUCAGGAUGAACGCUAGCUACAGGCUUAACACAUGCAAGUCGAGGGGAAACGACAUCGAAAGCUUGCUUUUGAUGGGCGUCGACCGGCGCACGGGUGAGUAACGCGUAUCCAACCUGCCCAUCACUUGGGGAUAACCUUGCGAAAGUAAGACUAAUACCCAAUGAUAUCUCUAGAAGGCAUCUGAAAGAGAUUAAAGAUUUAUCGGUGAUGGAUGGGGAUGCGUCUGAUUAGCUUGUUGGCGGGUAACGGCCACCAAAGCAACGAUCAGUAGGGGUUCUGAGAGGAACGGUCCCCANAUUGGAACUGAGACACGGUCCAAACUCCUACGGAGGCA